AUUGAACGCUGGCGGCAUGCCUUACACAUGCAAGUCGAACGGUAACGGGCCUUCGGGUGCCGACGAGUGGCGAACGGGUGAGUAAUACAUCGGAACGUGCCCGAUCGUGGGGGAUAACGAGGCGAAAGCUUUGCUAAUACCGCAUACGAUCUACGGAUGAAAGCAGGGGACCGCAAGGCCUUGCGCGGACGGAGCGGCCGAUGGCAGAUUAGGUAGUUGGUGGGAUAAAAGCUUACCAAGCCGACGAUCUGUAGCUGGUCUGAGAGGAUGAUCAGCCACACUGGGACUGAGACACGGCCCAGACUCCUACGGGAGGCAGCAGUGGUGAAUUUUGGACAAUGGGCGCAAGCCUGAUCCAGCCAUGCCGCGUGCAGGAUGAAGGCCUUCGGGUUGUAAACUGCUUUUGUACGGAACGAAAAGCCUUCUUUUAAUACAGGAGGGUCAUGACGGUACCGUAAGAAUAAGCACCGGCUAACUACGUG
rnacentral:rRNA from 1 species